GAUGCGAAACGCCGCGCUUGCCGGAGAUAGCAUUGAGGGCCCUUCCGCGGCCCGGCGUUUCGUCUCUUGGGACGAUUUUGUGCGUUCCCUCGGUCCCCGUGGGGCCCAUAGUUCUCACUUCUGCCACCCCAGAGUCGCCGCGCUUCACUAGACCCACUCCCUCCACUGUCCCGGAGGCCCACAGACAUUCCCGCAUUCUGAGGCUCGCUCCCGUCCCGUGCCGCUGUUACCGGCCUCCGGCCCCGGCUCAUACAAGCAGGAGCACAUCGCUCUUUUAUGAAAGCCCUUCAACAUUUAACGUUUAAAUGCGAGGGCCGACCUGUGACAGACCUGGUUGGGAGUGCACGUCGACUAUGGUCUUCCUCGCCUCGGGCUUCCUUGGAGAGGCCGCCGGCUGGUCUGAGAUUUGGGUCCAGUUACAGUAAAUCCAGUCAACGCGAGUGUGUUAUUCCCCAGCUAUGCCUGUCUGCCUGGAUGCAGCCUCGCGGGGGACAGUGGGUUGAUGUUUUGCCGUGGGAGCGCCACGGACGGGAGAGGGAGUGAUAAUGAUUGUCAACCUAAUAACAGGCUCUCUAACUGAAAAUGAUAUUUCUUUGGGAAUAGGGCGUUGGCGAAUAUGCGUGCCAUAGUAAACGAUUUGCGCAUUCAGGAAAGUAAUGGUUUUUAAAGAAAAAAUGAAGACGUAGAUAAUGGCUUGGAAAUAAUUAACCUUGGCUACAAAGAACAGUAACAAGUGUACUCCCGGCCGGGCGCGGUGGCUCAAGCCUGUAAUCCCAGCACUUUGGGAGGCCGAGGCGGGCGGAUCACCUGGAGUCAGGAGUUCAAGACCAGCCUGACCAACAUGGAGAAACCCCGUCUCUACUAAAAAUACAAAAUUAGCCAGGGUGGUGGCGCAUGCCUGUAAUCCUAGCUACUAGGGAGGCUGAGGCAGGAGAAUCGCUUGAACCCGGGAGGCAGAGGUUGCGGUGAGCCGAGAUCGCGCCAUUGCACUCAAGUCUGCGCAAAAAGAGCGAAACUCCGUCUCAAAAAAAAAAAAGAAAGAAAGAAAUUGUACUUUUAGGUCAGGCGCAGUGGCUCACGCCUGUAAUCCCAGCACUUUGGGAGGCCGAGGCGGGUGGAACACGAGGUCAAGAGAUCGAGACCAUCCUGGCCGACAUGGUGAAACCCUGUCUCCACUACAAAUACAAAAGUUAGCCGGGUGUAGUGGUGCGCACUUGUAGUCCCAGCUACUCAGGAGGCUGAGGCAGGAGAAUCACUUAAACCCAGGAGGCGGAGGUUGCUGUGAGCUGAGAUUGUGCCUGUGCAGUUCACCCUGGCAACAGAGUGAGAUUCCAUCUCAAAAAAAUAAAAAGAAAUUGUCCUUUUGCAAAAUACGGCAAUGAAUAAGUUUAAAAGGGGAAAAUACAAGGUAAAAUCAAUAAUACUAUGACUAUCCCAGUUUGCAUAUUGGUUUUGACCCAUGAACCUAGGCUUAAAGGAAAGCAAUUAAAAAGAAAAAAAUUAGAAAACAAAAAUAGAAAAAUAGAGAUUAAAGGAAGCCAAUUGAAUAAAUAAAAUGGCCAUAGAAAUUACAUG
rnacentral:lncRNA from 1 species